UACGGAGGGAGCUAGCGUUGUUCGGAAAUACUGGGCGUAAAGCGCACGUAGGCGGCGCAGCAAGUCAGGGGUGAAAUCCCGGGGCUCAACCCCGGAACUGCCCUUGAAACUGCAGUGCUAGAAUUCUGGAGAGGCGAGUGGAAUUCCGAGUGUAGAGGUGAAAUUCGUAGAUAUUCGGAAGAACACCAGUGGCGAAGGCGGCUCACUGGCCCGGUACUGACGCUGAGGUGCGAAAGCGUGGGGAGCAAACAGG
rnacentral:rRNA from 1 species